rnacentral:lncRNA from 1 species
GUGGGAGUUGAGGGGGAAAGCAAGUUAACAUUAAAAGACAGGAUACAAAAUUGACAUGUAUUUAGUACUUUCACUUACUAAGAUUAGAAAAUAGCUAUUAUGCUCAAGUGUGGAUAAACAAUCAUUCUACCUCACCAAACUAUUUGUAUCCUAAUUUUAAAAUACAUUCAUACUUUUAAUGUUAACAUUUUUAGAACAUAUACUGUUUUUUAAUGCUAUAAAGGAAUGUUUGAGCCUAUAAUUUUUAUUUGCUGCAUAAUUGAAUAAAUACAGCUUUUAAAAAUUAUUGUUACUAUCAUCAUUAUAAUUUUCUCUCCCAACAUUUAGAUUCUUUCCAGGCAUUUGCUCUUAAAUAAAGAUGAUAAACUUGCGUGUUGAAUUUUUUCCCAUCAUUUAUUGAAUUUACUAGGAUGGGAAAUACCAGUAUAAUAACUGUGCUGUGUUAAGUAGUUAACUCACAUGAUUAAAACGAGAACACACAGUUGCUAA